rnacentral:lncRNA from 8 species
GUCCCAAAAUGUUUUGCAUGUCAGCAAUCAAGUUUUCAAGAUAUAGGACUUUCAAAAAGCUAAUUGUUGCAUCAUCAUGAUGAUGUGGCAAGUUACAAUUAGUUUUUUGAAAGUCCUAUAUCGUGGAAACUUCCUUGCUGACAUGCAAAACAUUUUGGGAAUGUAUUAGUGGAGUAAUGUAUUAGGACUAAUGUAUUAGUGGACUAAUGAAAAAAUACCAAAAGAGUAUUACUUUAACAACAAAGUAAUGCACCUGCUUUCACAAUCAUCAAACUUUCUCUUUAAUGGGAAACAGGUAUUACACUCCUCUUCCUUCCAUUUUAAGUGCUUAGGCCUUUAACGCCAUUGAUUGGCAACUUAAACUUCAGAUUUUAAACUGCCUGUCAUUUAUUUUUUAAGCACUGCACAGUAUCUGUGACAUUGUGCAUGGAGGGAUUCAAAACAAAUUGAAUCACCUAAAUCAAACGUCCGUCUCAUUUCUUUCCCCGCCAGAGAAAAUAAACGCCCCAUAAAAAUGCAAAGAGUCAUUGUGGUGUGUGUAUGCUGUGGGGAGCUGGUCUCCGUCUUCCUCUCCAAGGGCAGCAGGCAGGGUGAGGAGAGGAGGGAGCGGAAGCCUGGGCCUGCUGGUGCUGCUCUAUGAUGCCUUUGACUCAGCGCUCAAAGCUCAAGUGAGCGGCCAACGCCAAAGAAAACCUACCCCAGUAACAGCCGGAGGAUUGUGCCCCGGACCUAGCUCCUGGCUCCAUGAUAAAAUGCACAUUCAUGUAAUUGUACAGCUCAUACCUGACUGCUUACACAAUGCCUCCUUUUUGCUCGCUGCUCGGCUGUUUUUCUGACCUGCCGAAGCCCCUCCCGAGGCUCUCUUCAGAUCCGCGCUCCAAGACAAAUCUGUCGACACCUGUGUGGAACGGGGAAGCAGGCCCCUGCAUUCAGACCAAAGACGUCUAUCUCAACUCAGCGCCAGCAGGCUCCCGAAGUACUGUAAUCUCUCUCAUUGAUUAAAUGGGCUCCUGAAUCUGAGGGGGUGCCUGUUUCCUGAGGUGGAGCAGAAUCGUAUUGAGAGUGCCUGGCAAAUCAGGGGGGAUAGAGCAUCUUAAGUUGCUUUUUGAUGUGCCCUGAUGAAUAAGGCCUGAUAGGGUGUAGGCUUGAAAGGCUUCAGUGUGGGCUGCCCAGGGAGAGGAAGUCUAUAGGCCUGCCUCUUAUAUAGGCUCUGGAUGGAUGGUGGUGGUGUAUAGGCCUGCCUCUUAUAUAGGCUCUGGAUGGAUGUGCACUAAGUUAAUGGAGCUUAGAAGCGCACACUCACAACACCCAGGCUAAUCUGCUUCUCUCUGCCAUCUGUUGGCUGAUAAGUGUACCUGCUUUGUCAUGACUCACAGAUCACAUACUGUGGCUUUGCAUUAAUAUGGCCCACUUUAAUAACUCCUUCAACCAGAUUUCCAUGCUUACAUAUUCUAUUAAACUUUUAUUAUAGCAUUACGACAGCAUUAAAUCAAAUUGCCUUAGCCUGGCUAGAUUAACAUGUUCAAUGAUUGGGAAAAAGAGGAGCUGGAAAUUGAUUGACUGUCUGUUAGCUGUGAGAGCUUGUAUCUAAAUGUAAUUAGGCAGUCAUUAUUGAUACUUUAAAAAAAAUAGGAGAGGAAAGAGGCUGCUGGCUAGAUCAUGAACUUAGAGUGAAAAAGUAAGGCUUACCCUGGAUCUUGACAGCGCUCAGUCGGAGGAGAUGAGACCAUGGUGACGUGACACACUAUCACAGGGGAAUGAAGGCUUAACGUCCCAAUACCUUGUCUGAAGGGGUAAAAGCUGUUUUGAUGCUGCUCAACACUACAUCAUAGCAAUGGCAAGGUGCAAUUUCAUUUCAAUUCAGUCAACUCUGUAGGACUUUGUAUUUUUCUGCUGCCUUUGUAAAAAUUGCAAUUUGGGAAUUAAACAUCUUCAUCGCAUCUUGAAUCCGCUUACUUAAAAUGGAUGUGAUUGAGGAGAAUGUGCCUGAUGUGCCAGAGACUAGAAGUGUCAUCUGAAGUGGGAAAGAGAAGAACAUGUUUCCCCAUCUAACAGACUCAAACUAAUAACUAUUAGAGCCAUUGACUGUGAUCAAGGUUGACAGACUGUUCCUAGAGUCCCAGGGAACAGGGAAUGGCACAUUGUCUGAGGGAUUGUGUGUGUGUGUGUGUGUGUGUUGCUUAUGAACUAAUGGUGAUAGAAACGGGCAGGUUUUCCUAAGGGGGGAAAAACAACACACAGUAGCCUGCCCACCCUCAAAACAUGCUGUGAGGUGUGGAAAAAACAAUCAUCACUAAUAUAAUGGGUUAGAGGUUGAGCUUUGAGAUUGACAAAAUUGUCAUUUAUGCAGUAUAAGGAGCUUUUCCGUUUCAAUGGUUCUUAUUUUCCUUUCAAUAAAACAUAGUCAGCACACAGCCUGACUGCCAACUUCAAUAUGUCUCUCAACAGGCAUCAUGUCACAUGAUCAGGCCAAGAGACCCACCAUUGGCUACUGGCAGUUUCCAUGGAGACGAGGCUCAGUGUGCCUUCCUGGAAAAAUGUAAACAGUGAGUGAACACGGGAGGAUUUAUAUACAUUGUUUUCUAAUCUUGUUUUCUAAUUUCCAUGUUGGAAUGCAUGCUGCCUGACAAACGGAGAGAGAAAGACGAGGGGGGGGGGGGGGGCGAGUAAGAGAAAGAAAGAUAUCUUCAACUUGACAUGUUGGUAUAGUUAGUGUGUUCUUGUCAUUGUGUUGUAAAAGCAUUAUAUAGAAAUAUGGUCAUCAAACAGUUUAGUGGUUCACUGUUAUCCCCUCUUCUAGUGCAUUCUAACAAGUGAUGUUUUGGCUGUAUGCUUUAAAAAUGUGCAUUGUUCCUAUUGGUGGAAGUUAGACUCAGUGGUUUCAAGGCACAUAAACACAAAACAAGUAGAAUUCAUGUCAUUUUAUCCCACAUUCUGACUACAACCUAAGAAGUACAACCAGACCUCCUUGAGUUCAUUAACAUGUGAUUUACUCUUGCAUGGAGUAAAUGACUGGAGUUGGAUUAUCAACCCUGUAUAUCAACCCGGUAUAUUAAUAUUAUUUUGGACCGAUUAAACGUCAAUCAUGCUAUUAUCAUUUCUCCUUGUUAUUCAUAUAAUUAUGUGGUCCCGAAGCAAUUGAGGGAAUUUGCUUCUUUGUUGCCUCAGUGAAUCUGGGGAUUUCCUUGGGAUGAAGAUUAGAUUCCUACUGAAGCAUGAAGGAUGAAGGAGGAGGAGGUAAGUGAUGUGAUGUGAAGUCAGGAAACACCCUACUACGGUGUCCAUUUUAGGAUACUCAGCCUCAAGCCUCACCCUCCUUGUCUUAAAUGUUACCCCUCCUUGAGUCAAUCGUCAUGAGUGAGGCAUGAGCAUUGAGGCUGAGGUUGUCCCAUAAUGGACACCGUACUGCGCUGUGAAGGGUUAAGCUUCUUAACCCAGCCUCAGUUUGUUUACACAACUCCUCAUUAUCAAGACUACUGCAUCCCCAACCCAUUUGAAUGAGCUGC